GAUGAACGCUGGCGGCGUGCCUAAUACAUGCAAGUCGAGCGAACGGACGAGAAGCUUGCUUCUCUGAUGUUAGCGGCGGACGGGUGAGUAACACGUGGAUAACCUACCUAUAAGACUGGGAUAACUUCGGGAAACCGGAGCUAAUACCGGAUAAUAUUUUGAACCGCAUGGUUCAAAAGUGAAAGACGGUCUUGCUGUCACUUAUAGAUGGAUCCGCGCUGCAUUAGCUAGUUGGUAAGGUAACGGCUUACCAAGGCAACGAUGCAUAGCCGACCUGAGAGGGUGAUCGGCCGCACGGGAACUGAGACACGGUCCAGACUCCUACGGGAGGCAGCAGUAGGGAAUCUUCCGCAAUGGGCGAAAGCCUGACGGAGCAACGCCGCGUGAGUGAUGAAGGUCUUCGGAUCGUAAAACUCUGUUAUUAGGGAAGAACAUAUGUGUAGGUAACUGUGCACAUCUUGACGGUACCUAAUCAGAAAGCCACGGCUAACUACGUG
rnacentral:rRNA from 1 species